rnacentral:rRNA from 1 species
GACGAACCGUGCGAACGUUGUUCGGAAUCACUGGGCUUAAAGAGCGCGUAGGCGGGCCUCCCAGUCCGGGGUGAAAGCUUUCGGCUUAACCGGAAAAGUGCCUUGGAUACUGGAGGUCUGGAGGGAGGUAGGGGCAGUCGGAACUUCCGGUGGAGCGGUGAAAUGCGUUGAUAUCGGAAGGAACGCCGGUGGCGAAAGCGGACUGCUGGACCUUUUCUGACGCUGAGGCGCGAAAGCCAGGGGAGCGAACGGG